AUGUCUAGUCUAGUUUUAAAUGUUUUGUCUGUCGGGCUCUUUAACAAGUCCCUGAAGAAAAGAAAAAAAGAAAGAAAAGACACUUAAAAAACACUUCUGCCCCAAACACUUUCAAAAUAAUUACAACUUGAAGUAUGCUAAGCAUUAUAAACAUCCUUUCAGUGUUUUACCACAGUAUGCUUUGAGGAGCAAGAAAACUGGGCACAUACUCAUUCUCCAGGCACACUGCCAAACUCUUCCAAGCACCCUACCUGCCCACUAUCUUAAGUUUCCAGAAUAAGUGAGAAAACACAAUCCAGUUGCAGCUGCAGGUCUGCAUGUUUCCUCCCUGCACUCCGAGACUGAACUCUAAAACACGGACAAGAAAACUUUGACGCAUGGGCGAAAACUCAUGGGGUGUUUAUACAGUGCAACAUGCUGAUCCAUUCCACAUCUGACGAACUACCAUGAGCAGCACAUCAGAGUCGUGCCUCUGAAUACAGCAUCUUUCAUAGAGGAAAAGGUCAACAUUCAGUGAGAGGAAAUCAUCCUGCACAGCUGGACAACCACAGUGCUGGAUCAUCUCAGCGAGAAAAGAGAGUACAAAUAUACAACUCUUAAGUGUAAGAGAAGAACAGUCAAAGCCCUCAAAAAUCCAGUCUGCUUCUAUGACUUCCACAUUACGAUCACCUACAUUAAGCAUGCAUCCAGUGCUUAAUAAACACAGGCUCACCUAAAACCUCCUGGACUCACCGGCCACCUAAACCCCCUGUUGCCUUCACAAGGGUGGCUAGAUGUUCUUAAACAUCACAAGCCUCAUUCUCUGUUUCAAGCUGACCUUGGAAUGGCCAUUAGACAUGGCUUUGAACUACUGGAACUAUCUCUUAUAGACCAGUGUCAAGGGUCCCCCUGAGUUGAUAAUGACUUGCUUUCAUAACUGCUGUGACAUUUUGUGAAGGUACGCUAGGCGUGCUUACAGGCCAUAUCUACAGAAUGCAAUGCUUCCUUUCCCCCUCAGCAGGUGUGAAUCUGAGCUGCAUAGUCUGCGAUUUACAGUGCUGUGUUUGCGCAUCCUGGAAUAAGCAUAGGCCACACGCAUAUGUCCAACCUUGAUAAGCAAUUUGGCUCACUAUAGUGUCGACAUGAAUACGGCUGUACAGUGGGGACGCUUAGUUAAACAUCAGAAACACAGUACUAUGAUGAAGCUGGCGUAGUGUGUUAUGGAUAUUUUUAGUUAUCUAAGCCAUAUGCUGGGGUAAAAUUGUUGGAUCAGUCACUUCUUGCAUCAUUUUUAAAGUGCCUUUAUUUUAAAGAAAAAUAAGUUUGUAUAUAGGGGAUAGUUCACCCAAAAAUGAACAAUUAUGUCAUUAUUUGAUCACCCUUUACUUGUUUCAAUCCUAUAUAAGUCUGUUCUGUAGAAGAUAUUUUGAAGGAAGCUGGAAACCUGUAACCAUUGACUGUCAGAAUGUCAGCAUUCAGAAUAUCUUCUUUUAUGUUUAACAGAAGAAUUUUUAAUUUUUUUGAACUAACAAAGCCUUUAAAAUGAAAUACAAUAUAGAGUGAUAACCAGUUAUUCAAAUUUCUUGCAUUUCGAUUAAUGAUUUGAUCUUUGUUGUAAUAGACUGGCGACCCUUCUCAGUAAUCAUGUUUCUUUGUUUUAUCACAAAUUAAACUAUCUGUAAGGUGUUAAAAAGUUUUAAAAUAUCUUCAAAGUCUAAAUUUUAGGCGUUAAAAGUCUUAAAUUUACUGCAAUAUUGUCUUGUAAGUCUUAAAUAAUUUUUAACAGGUCUUCAUUUUCACCUAUCCAAUCACUAACCUUCCUUCUCAAUAAAAAAUUUAACAAAAGAUUAUUUAUUAACUUUAUUAACCAAUAUGGUAACAUUAUCUUCCUACAAUGUUUUAACUGGGCCAGUGGAAAAAAUUCAAAAUGUUUGGCUUUGUAUAAUGGUAGACCAUUUCAUUACCAAUGGUCUUAAAAAGGUCUUAAAUUUAACUUGAUUUAACCUGUAGAAACCCCAUUUAUAUUACUAUGCAGUACACUGUACAUAAACAUAACAUCAACAUGUUGGUAUAAAGUUUACAGUUUUACAAUUUACAGUGCUCAGCAUAUAUGCGUACACCCCUCUAAAAAUCUAUCUCUUAGAUUCAUAGUUUUAAUAGGAAUCUGUACAAUAUUAUUUUUGUGCAUAUACAUUAGAUUAGUCAGUACUGAAGCCAAAUCUGGAGCUUAUCUAACAAAAUAACUUACUUAAACAGUCAAAAACGAUUACACACAAAUUUAUGGUAUAGAAAAACAUUAAACACAAAUUUAAAAAAUAGAAGUUUUGUUGAAAUUUUGUAGGUUUUAUUUAUUUAUUUUUUGCAUUAUUUAGCCUGAAUGUAAUUGUAUUAUCUUUCAAUAUCUAAAUAUGUUUGGUGACUAAAAUCUUAUUUUAAUAAAUAUAUCUGUUUAAUUAAUCUCUUUUGUUUAAAUGCACUAAAAUACAUUGCCUACAUCCACUGAAAAAAGGAUAAAAAUAUUCACUUUCAAAAUGGGGUGUACUCAAUUAUGCUGAGCACUGUAUAUGGCAGUUUUCAAUUUUGCCCACUAUACUGCCUUCAUGGCUACAUUUCUUACAUUACCUUAUAGAAACCCUGUCAGAUCUGAUGUGAAAUCUGAAUCACGUAGGCCGCUGAAUGUCUUCAUGCCAUGUCUAGUUCCUGCAUGUGGAUGGAAGAAGAGAUAAAUGAACUCUCUCGCUGUGCCCUUACAUAAAUGAGGGUUGAUGAAAAUGAUGAUAGGCUCGAGCUGCUGAAGAACUGAUCCCAGUGGAGACCUUACAGUGCUCUGUCCCACUCACAAGACAAAUUAUAUAAUUAGGCACAUGUCUUAGGGGACGCCAACCUUUGGCCCUUUCUUGACAUCUUCAAUGCUAAAUGACAGCAUAUCUUGCUAAAAUAACUGGGCAAAUUCAUCUUGGUGACACAAGCCGAAUUCUCUUUACAGUUGUAUUAAUUGUCUGGUUUGGAGAAAUCCCACUGAAAUUACAAUAUCCAGCUACUCAAGGGAAACAUUCUAUUUGAUUAUAAAGAUGAUCACAAUUCUUGGAGAGAGGAGUCAAAAGCAAAUUGUUUUAACUGUAUGGUAAUUUGCAUAAGUAAUAUUAAAAUAAUCUAUUAAUAAAAUGUGAUGGUUUGUGACCUGAUGUUUUAAAAAUUAAUUAUUUUGGGUUGAUUAUAAGGGGAGCAGUAAUUUCUUUUUACACUUUAUUUUCCUUCACUUAAAGAUAAAUAAGUUAUACCAGUAUUCAUUUAAUAGAAGAUGCAACUAUUGGUAGACUAAAUAAUUGAUAUAAAGGACAAGAAUAUAAUAUUAAAUUAAUUGGAAAAGACAUAUCUUAGAAAUACCUCCAUUGUAAGUGUUUUAAAGCAAUAUUAUAAUAAUCAACUGUAUCUGAAAUUAAAGACUAGCUCAAAUUUAUCACUUUCCUAAGUUUUUGCUCCCCAUAGAGUUUAUUUUCUUUAAUAUGUCAGACAUGUUAUGCAUUUAAAAAGCAAUUUUUUUUUUCAGAAGGAAAACUGCUUGAUCUUAUGUAUACAUUAAUCGGCUGAGUCAAGACCGACUGAUUUAAUUUAACUUUGGUUAAAUGACAAAGGAUAAACAGUAACAAAAUAACUCACUAAGAUCCCAAAGAUACUUAUUGUAGUUAUUUAUUUAUGUAUAAUUUUUAAAGAUGUUACUCCACCAUGUUUCUGGAUUUAAGAAUAGAGUCUGUUAAUUCCCCCCCUUUCUUCUACAAGAUGCCUUAUUGUCGGUUUCAAAUUGUAGCCCUGACUUCUUACGUGUGAAAAUCACCUAAAAUAAGAACGCACAAUUCUUUUCCCUCUCAUAUAAGGAGAGUUCUGAUGCCAUAAAGCGGAAUGGCCCUCUCGUACAGCCUCCUUUCAUCACCUCGUGCUCAUCACCGGCAUUGUCAAAAUGUUGGUCGCGGGCCGCGUGAGGGGCUCCGAUUGAAAAAGCAGAGCCCGGGCUCCUGCCUCGACUAGGCAUGGGUUAAGCCACCUCUCCAACCAGGCGGCCCCCAGCGGAACCCUCAUUACUUUGGCUCCUGGAGCAGUGAGCUGUGCUGUGCUUCAGAGAAGAGAGGCUCCUUACCUGAGCAUCAGUGCUUCCACACGCCUUCACCAACCCGAUCUGACAGCUCAACCGCAAAUGUGAUAAAAAAAAAAACAUUCCCUAUAUGAAACGUCGCUGUAUUUGUGUUUGUUGGGAGUAUGUGACAGCACUUAGUUUGACUUGAGAUGCUUUCUAGUGUCAAAGUUUGUUUAUUUAUCUAAAUCUGCUUCAGGUUAUAAUUUGAAGUGUUUAUGCUGUCUGCAUUCAAAUAAAGCUGCCAUUUCUGCGUACUGGG